rnacentral:rRNA from 1 species
CGAACGGGUGCGUAACACGUGAGCAACCUGCCGAUUCGAGGGGGAUAGCCGGCCCAACGGCCGGGUAAUACCCCGUACGCUCGCGGAGUCGAUGACUCUGUGAGGAAACCUCCGGGGCGAAUCGAGGGGCUCGCGGCCUAUCAGCUAGUUGGUGAGGUAACGGCUCACCAAGGCGACGACGGGUAGCUGGUCUGAGAGGAUGGCCAGCCACAUUGGGACUGAGAAACGGCCCAG